rnacentral:rRNA from 1 species
UAGAGAAUACCAAGGCGCUUGAGAGAACUCGGGUGAAGGAACUAGGCAAAAUGGUGCCGUAACUUCGGGAGAAGGCACGCUGAUGGUAAGUGAAGUGACUUGCUCAUGGAGCUGAAAUCAGUCGAAGAUACCAGCUGGCUGCAACUGUUUAUUAAAAACACAGCACUGUGCAAACACGAAAGUGGACGUAUACGGUGUGAC